GAUGAAGAACGUAGCAAAAUGCGAUAAGUAAUGUGAAUUGCAGAAUUCAGUGAAUCACCGAAUCUUUGAACGCACAUUGCGCCCGCCAGUAUUCUGGCGGGCAUGCCUGUUCGAGCGUCAUUUCAACCCUCAAGCACAGCUUGGUGUUGGGACUCGCGUUAAUUCGCGUUCCUCAAAUUGAUUGGCGGUCACGUCGAGCUUCCAUAGCGUAGUAGUAAAACCCUCGUUACUGGUAAUCGUCGCGGCCACGCCGUUAAACCCCAACUUCUGAAUGUUGACCUCGGAUCAGGUAGGAAUACCCGCUGAACUUAAGCAUAUCAAUAAGCGGAGGA
rnacentral:misc_RNA from 1 species